ACAUGCAAGUCGAACGAGAACCCAUUCUUCCGAUGGGGGACAGUGGCGAACGGGUGAGUAACACGUUGGUGACCUGCCCCGAAGUGAGGGACAAUCCUGCGAAAGCGGGGCUAAUACCGCAUGUGCUCCAGGGGGUUAGAUGCCCCUGGAGUAAAGCUCCGGCGCUUCGGGAGGGACCUGCGGCCUAUCAGCUAGUUGGUGGGGUAACGGCCCACCAAGGCUAAGACGGGUAGGGGGCGGAGAGCGUGGCCCCCCACAAUGGAACUGAGACACGGUCCAUACUCCUACGGGGGGCAGCAGUGAGGAAUAUUGCGCAAUGGGGGAAACCCUGACGCAGCAACGCCGCGUGGGUGAUGAAGGCCUUCGGGUCGUAAAACCCUUUUCUGGGGGAAGAGAAAGGACGGUACCUCAGGAAUAAGUCCCGGCUAACUACGUGCCAGCAGCCGCGGUAAAACGUAGGGGGCGAGCGUUAUCCGGAUUUACUGGGCGUAAAGCGCGUGCGGGCGGCUUGGUAGGUUGGACGUGAAAGCUCUUGGCUCAACUGAGAGAGGUCGUUCAAUACCGCCAAGCUUGAGGGCGGAAGAGGGGAGCGGAAUUCCCGGUGUAGUGGUGGAAUGCGUAGAUAUCGGGAGGAACACCCGUGGCGAAGGCGGCUCCCUGGUCCGCACCUGACGCUAAGACGCGAAAGCGUGGGGAGCGAACGGGAUUAGAUACCCCGGUAGUCCACGCCGUAAACGAUGGAUGCUAGGUGUAGGUGGUAUUGACCCCAUCUGUGCCGUAGCUAACGCGUUAAGCAUCCCGCCUGGGGACUACGGCCGCAAGGUUAAACUCAAAGGAAUUGACGGGGGCCCGCACAAGCAGCGGAGCGUGUGGUUUAAUUCGAUGCUACGCGAAGAACCUUACCUGGGCUUGACAUGCACGUAGUAGUGAAGCGAAAGUGGAACGACCCUUCGGGGAGCGCGCACAGGUGCUGCAUGGCUGUCGUCAGCUCGU
rnacentral:rRNA from 1 species